rnacentral:tRNA from 1 species
CCUUCGAUAGCUCAGCUGGUAGAGCGGAGGACUGUAGAGUGUGAAAAGCUGUCAUCCUUAGGUCGCUGGUUCGAUUCCGGCUCGAAGGA